rnacentral:rRNA from 1 species
CUUAGUGGUUAUGGCGGAGGGGGUACACCCGAUCCCAUUCCGAACUCGGAAGUUAAGCCCUCCAGCGCCGAUGGUACUGGGCUGUAAUGGCCUGGGAGAGUAGGACGCCGCUAAGU